rnacentral:rRNA from 1 species
CUCCAUCAUAUCUUGGUGGGGUGCGUGUUCGUGCGCAUCACAUGGCACGAGAUCCUCUCGUGGUGUUCCCCAACGACGGCUGCGCCGGAUGGCACCACCGGCUACUUUGCCUGGCUCUCCGCAGCCAUCCUUCUCCUCCCGGCUGCGCGUAGGCGUGGCCUGGCCACUAUCGCCUCCCUCAUUGCUUGGUCCCUUUGGCGACACCGGAACGCGAUCAUCUUCGAUAAGAUUACCCCUUCCUCCUCUUCCCUGAUCGCCGCAAUCAAAGACGAAGCUCGCUCCUGGGCUGCCGCUGGAGCUCGAGGGCUCGCCUCGAACCGUUUUGUAACCUGA